rnacentral:rRNA from 1 species
UACGGAGGGUGCAAGCGUUAUCCGGAUUCACUGGGUUUAAGGGGUGCGUAGGCGGGCAGGUAAGUCAGUGGUGAAAUCUCCGAGCUUAACUCGGAAACUGCCAUUGAUACUAUUUGUCUUGAAUAUUGUGGAGGUAAGCGGAAUAUGUCAUGUAGCGGUGAAAUGCUUAGAUAUGACAUAGAACACCAAUUGCGAAGGCAGCUUACUACACAAUGAUUGACGCUGAGGCACGAAAGCGUGGGGAUCAAACAGG